GAAGUUGUAAGAAACGUCUGCUUAGGGCUUCGAUUGUCGUAACGAGUCUAUUGUUGGUAUUAAUAUCCGCAAGACUCUGAUGUGCAUUGGCCCACAAAGUGGUUAACAUUCAACAAUCGAAGCAUUGCGCUCAAAUGCCAACUUUGCCCAGGAUGUUUGGAGGGUGGAGAUUAGAGUCAAGGUUGACAAGAAUAGUCCAAGGAAGAAAUUCAGCACUGUAUUGAGGAAGCACAGGAAGGAGAAAAUGACAUAAAAUGAUAAAAAUGGAUAAAUUGACAGUAAAGAUGGGCUUGCAUUCCUUCUGACCCCUUGUACAGCCAGUUGGAUUUACACGUCGUUGACAAAUGAUAUUUAAAAAAAAAAAA
rnacentral:lncRNA from 1 species